rnacentral:tRNA from 1 species
GCAUUAAUGGGGUAGUGGUAACCUGGGUCGUUGCCAUACAAGCUUGUAAUUCGACCCGCCGGGGGUUCGAUUCCCCCUUAAUGCA